rnacentral:rRNA from 1 species
CCGGCGGUGUGCCUAAUACAUGCAAGUCGUACGCACUGGCCCAACUGAUUGAUGGUGCUUGCACCUGAUUGACGUUGGAUCACCAGUGAGUGGCGGACGGGUGAGUAACACGUAGGUAACCUGCCCCGGAGCGGGGGAUAACAUUUGGAAACAGAUGCUAAUACCGCAUAACAACAAAAGCCACAUGGCUUUUGUUUGAAAGAUGGCUUUAGCUAUCACUCUGGGAUGGACCUGCGGUGCAUUAGCUAGUUGGUAAGGUAACGGCCUACCAAGGCGAUGAUGCAUAGCCGAGUUGAGAGACUGAUCGGCCACAAUGGAACUGAGACACGGUCCAUACUCCUACGGGAGGCAGCAGUAGGGAAUCUUCCACAAUGGGCGCAAGCCUGAUGGAGCAACACCGCGUGAGUGAAGAAGGGUUUCGGCUCGUAAAGCUCUGUUGUUGGAGAAGAACGUGCGUGAGAGUAACUGUUCACGCAGUGACGGUAUCCAACCAGAAAGUCACGGCUAACUACGUGCCAGCAGCCGCGGUAAUACGUAGGUGGCAAGCGUUAUCCGGAUUUAUUGGGCGUAAAGCGAGCGCAGGCGGUUGCUUAGGUCUGAUGUGAAAGCCUUCGGCUUAACCGAAGAAGUGCAUCGGAAACCGGGCAACUUGAGUGCAGAAGAGGACAGUGGAACUCCAUGUGUAGCGGUGGAAUGCGUAGAUAUAUGGAAGAACACCAGUGGCGAAGGCGGCUGUCUGGUCUGCAACUGACGCUGAGGCUCGAAAGCAUGGGUAGCGAACAGGAUUAGAACACCGGGUAGUCCAUGCCGUAAACGAUGAGUGCUAGGUGUUGGAGGGUUUCCCCCCUUCAGUGCCGGAGCUAACGCAUUAAGCACUCCGCCUGGGGAGUACGACCGCAAGGUUGAAAAUCAAAGGAAUUGACGGGGGCCCGCUCAAGCGGUGGAGCAUGUGGUUUAAUUUGAAGCUACGCGAAGAACCUUACCAGGUCUUGACAUCAUGCGCUAGCCUUAGAGAUAGAGGCGUUCCCUUCGGGGACGCAAUGACAGGUGGUGCAUGGUCGUCGUCAGCUCGGGUCGUGAGAUGUUGGGUUAAGUCCCGCAACGAGCGCAACCCUUGUUACUAGUUGCCAGCAUUAAGUUGGGCACUCUAGUGAGACUGCCGGUGACAAACCGGAGGAAGGUGGGGACGACGUCAGAUCAUCAUGCCCCUUAUGACCUGGGCUACACACGUGCUACAAUGGACGGUACAACGAGUCGCAAGCUCGCGAGAGUAAGCUAAUCUCUUAAAGCCGUUCUCAGUUCGGACAGUAGGCUGCAACUCGCCUACACGAAGUCGGAAUCGCUAGUAAUCGAGGAUCAGCAUGCCGCGGUGAAUACGUU